rnacentral:tRNA from 1 species
UUGGCUCAGAUGGUAAAGCAUCUGCCUACAAUGCAGGACACCUGGGUUCAAUCCCUAGA